rnacentral:rRNA from 1 species
GCGUGUGUGACAAGACGCCUUUGGUCUUGUAAAGCUCUUAUGUCCGGAGAGAAAUAAUUUUGUUUAAUCCGGGGGGAUAAUGGCGGUACCGGAAGAAAAAGCCCCGGCUAACUUCGUCCCAGCAGCCGCGGUAAUACGAAGGGGGCGAGCGUUAUUCGGAAUUACUGGGUGUAAAGCGUGCGCAGGCGGUUUUUUAAGUCAGAUGUGAAAUCCCCGGGCUCAACCUGGGAAUUGCAUUUGUGACUGCCAGUCUAGAGUACGGCAGAGGGGGGUGGAAUUCCGCGUGUAGCGGUGAAAUGCGUAGAUAUGGGGAGGAACCCCGAUGGCGAAGGCACCCCCCUGGGCCAACACUGACGCUCAUGCAAAAAAGCGUGGGGAGCAAACAGGAUUAGAUCCCCUGGUAGUCCACGCCAAAAAAUAUGUCAUAAAGUUGUUGGGAAUUCGCAGUUCAGUGUCGCAGCUAACGCGUAAGUGUCCGCCUGGG